GCGCGGGCCGCGCCCCCGGCGCCGGGGAUUCGGGGAUCCUGGCGUGGGAAGCGGCGCGCUCUGCUAAUAAAUCGGCUUGCGCUCGCGGGGCCCGCAGGUCAACUAUCAUCAUUACACUCAGACUCACUGAGAUUAGGUUAUAAGAAGGCAGCUGGAAUCGCCCGAGUCGCUGUGGGAGCGUCAGUGAGUAACAGCCAGGCCAGCUGAGCCGGCAUGGAAAUACGUUCAGACUCCGGACUUGUUUAUCUCGGGGCUCUUAGCUCCGUCCACUGUUCUGCUCAGAACAUCAGACUCCUAGAUGUGUGCUCAGUCCCGCUUCCUUGCUUCCUCCGAAAGCCUCACUCCUGGGAAACGGGAUCUCUCCUGCAACUAGGGUCCACGACGAGGGUCCUACGGGCUGGGGGCGGGGCCACUUGGCCCCGGGAACAAUGAGGCCAUUGCCUCUUCUGCGUGCUGCGGGCCGGAUAUCCGUUCUGAAGGCGGCUCUGGGCUUUCUCUGUCCAGAAGGAGGAAACCUUCGGUCACCAGGGCUGCAAGGAAAUAGCAGGGAGGUGCCCCGAGGAACGGAGAACAAUUAUGCAUGGAGAAUAUAAAGAAAUGAGCAAACUUUCCUGGCCUUGGACAGCGAUUCCAGUUAUCCGGGAUUAUCUUCUUUCCUGGUGUAAAUACCUUCAUGCCACCAUUCCCUAGUGUCUGGAUUUGGAUGGGAAACACACCCAGAGAAAAUACAUAAGUCCUGCUGGUCACUCAGCAAGAAGAUGUUACCCUGUCCACUUCUCCCGCCAAUACAGGGAGAUGCAUCCUGCCUACAAAAUAAAUGAUUCCAUGUCAAGUA